ACGGAAGGCAGCAGUGGGGAAUAUUGGGCAAUGGGCGAAAGCCUGACCCAGCGACGCCGCGUGAGGGAAGACGGUCUUCGGAUUGUAAACCUUAGUCAACAGGGAAGAAACAAAUGACGGUACCUGUGGAGGAAGCCACGGCUAACUACGUGCCAGCAGCCGCGGUAAUACGUAGGUGGCAAGCGUUAUCCGGAAUUACUGGGUGUAAAGGGUGUGUAGGCGGGAAGGCAAGUCAGAUGUGAAAAUUAUGGGCUUAACCCAUAACCUGCAUUUGAAACUGUUUUUCUUGAGGGACGGAGAGGUAAACGGAAUUCCCAGUGUAGCGGUGAAAUGCGUAGAUAUUGGGAGGAACACCAGUGGCGAAGGCGGUUUACUGGACGUCAACUGACGCUGAGACACGAAAGCGUGGGGAGCAAACAGGAUUAGAUACCCUGGUA
rnacentral:rRNA from 1 species